rnacentral:snRNA from 1 species
CUUCACAUGCUGCACGUAUACUAAAAUUGGAACAAUAUAGAGAAGAUUAGCAUGGCCCCUGCGCAAGAAUGACCNUACUAUAAGAACAAUUAUUCUGUUCUAU